AUACGGAGGAUGCGAGCGUUAUCCGGAUUUAUUGGGUUUAAAGGGUGCGUAGGCUGUGCGUUAAGUCAGGGGUGAAAUGCCGUCGCUCAACGACGGAGCUGCCCUUGAUACUGGCGUGCUGGAGUACGGAUGCCGUUGGAGGAAUGAGUGGUGUAGCGGUGAAAUGCUUAGAUAUCACUCAGAACACCGAUUGCGAAGGCAUCGGACGAAUCCGUCACUGACGCUGAGGCACGAAAGCGUGGGGAUAGAACAGGAUUAGAUACCCUGGUAUUCCACGCCGUAAACGAUGAUGACUAACCGUCGGCGAUAGACAGCCGGUGGCCAAGCGAAAGCGAUAAGUCAUCCACCUGGGGAGUACGUCGGCAACGAUGAAACUCAAAUGAAUUGGCGGG
rnacentral:rRNA from 1 species